AUGACUGCCAAGUUCAUGCAUUGUCUGGCCUUUAAUAAUCUGGGAGCAGGCCUAUUGGAUGCUAUUAUCUCCAAAACUCCAAAGUACUCUAUUAUGGGGACUGGAAAGAAAAUUAUUCUGGAAAGUUCUCAAACCAUGCCCUGUGACAAAAUGUAUUGGUAUCAGCAAGACCCAGGCAUGGAACUAUGGCUGCGCCAUUGUUCAUAUGGCAUUAAUAAUACAGAGAAAUUAGAGCUUUCCUUUGAGUGUAAUAUUCAGAGAAUGAAUCCUACCUCAUGUUAAGCACAUUUUUCAUACACAGCCCUCCACACUCCUGCCUCUUUCCAACCCUAAU